rnacentral:rRNA from 1 species
UACGUAGGGUGCAAGUGUUAUCCGGAAUCACUGGGCGUAAAGCGUCUGUAGGUGGUUUAAAAAGUCCACUGUUAAAGAUUGAGGCUUAACUUCAAAAAUGCCGUGGAAACUUUCAAACUAGAGUAUGGUAGGGGUAGAGGGAAUUUCCAGUGGAGCGGUGAAAUGCGUAGAUAUUGGAAAGACCACCGAUGGCGAAGGCACUCUACUGGGCCAUUACUGACACUGAGAGACGAAAGCUAGGGGAGCAAAUGGG